rnacentral:rRNA from 1 species
AUUGAACGCUGGCGGCAUGCUUUACACAUGCAAGUCGAACGGCAGCGCGGGCUUCGGCCUGGCGGCGAGUGGCGAACGGGUGAGUAAUACAUCGGAACGUGCCCAGUCGUGGGGGAUAGCUCGGCGAAAGCCGGAUUAAUACCGCAUACGACCUGAGGGUGAAAGCGGGGGAUCUUCGGACCUCGCGCUAUUGGAGCGGCCGAUGGCAGAUUAGCUAGUUGGUGGGGUAAAGGCCUACCAAGGCGACGAUCUGUAGCUGGUCUGAGAGGACGACCAGCCACACUGGGACUGAGACACGGCCCAGACUCCUACGGGAGGCAGCAGUGGGGAAGUUUGGACAAUGGGCGAAAGCCUGAUCCAGCAAUGCCGCGUGUGUGAUGAAGGCCUUCGGGUUGGAAAGCACUUUUGGCGGGAACGAAAAGGACUGUGCCAAUACCACGGUUCGAUGACGGUACCCGCAGAAUAAGCACCGGCUAACUACGUG